rnacentral:rRNA from 1 species
GUGAGGAAUAUUGGUCAAUGGGCGCAAGCCUGAACCAGCCAUGCCGCGUGCAGGAAGACGGUCCUAUGGAUUGUAAACUGCUUUUAUUUGGGAAUAAACUCCGGUACGUGUACCGGCCUGAAGGUACCAAAUGAAUAAGCACCGGCUAACUCCGUGCCAGCAGCCGCGGUAAUACGGAGGGUGCAAGCGUUAUCCGGAAUCAUAUGGUUUAAAGGGUCCGCAGGCGGUCUUAUAAGUCAGUGGUGAAAGCCUACAGCUCAACUGUAGAACUGACAUUGAUACUGUAGGACUUGAAUUCGAUCGAAGUGGGCGGAAUGUGACAUGUAGCGGUGAAAUGCUUAGAUAUGUCACAGAACACCGAUAGCGAAGGCAGCUCACUAGGUCUGGAUUGACGCUCAGGGACGAAAGCGUGGGGAGCAAACAGGAUUAGAAACCCGUGUAGUCC